AGUUUGAUCCUGGCUCAGGAUGAACGCUGGCGGCAGGCUUAACACAUGCAAGUCGAGGGGCAGCGGGUCGUAGCAAUACGAUGGCGGCGACCGGCGAAAGGGUGCGUAACGCGUGAGCAACCUGCCCGUAUCCGGGACAUAAGCGGUGGAAACGCCGUCUAAUUUCCCAUAACAACGAGGGCCGCAUGGUCCAUGUUUGAAAGAUGCGUCGGAUACGGAUGGGCUCGCGAGACAUUAGCUAGUCGGCGUGGUAACGGCACACCGAGGCGACGAUGUCUAGGGGUUCUGAGAGGAAGGUCCCCCACACUGGUACUGAGACACGGACCAGACUCCUACGGGAGGCAGCAGUGAGGAAUAUUGCACAAUGGGCGAAAGCCUGAUGCAGCGACGCCGCGUGAGCGAAGAAGUAUUUCGGUAUGUAAAGCUCUAUCAGCAGGGAAGAUAAUGACGGUACCUGACUAAGAAGCACCGGCUAAAUACGUGCC
rnacentral:rRNA from 1 species